UACGUAGGUGGCGAGCGUUGUUCGGAAUUACUGGGCGUAAAGCGCACGUAGGCGGACAUUUAAGUCAGGGGUGAAAUCCCGGGGCUCAACCCCGGAACUGCCUUUGAUACUGGGUGUCUUGAGUUCGGAAGAGGUGAGUGGAAUUGCGAGUGUAGAGGUGAAAUUCGUAGAUAUUCGCAGGAACACCAGUGGCGAAGGCGGCUCACUGGUCCGAUACUGACGCUGAGGUGCGAAAGCGUGGGGAGCAAACAGG
rnacentral:rRNA from 1 species